GCGGAUGUAGCCAAGUGGAUCAAGGCAGUGGAUU
rnacentral:tRNA from 18 species